rnacentral:rRNA from 1 species
UACGGAGGGUGCAAGCGUUAAUCGGAAUUACUGGGCGUAAAGCGCGCGUAGGCGGCUGAUUAAGUCGGAUGUGAAAGCCCCGGGCUCAACCUGGGAACUGCAUACGAUACUGGUCGGCUAGAGUAUGAGAGAGGGAGGUAGAAUUCCACGUGUAGCGGUGAAAUGCGUAGAUAUGUGGGGGAAUACCGGUGGCGAAGGCGGCCUCCUGGCUUAAUACUGACGCUGAGGUGCGAAAGCGUGGGGAGCAAACAGG